CCUACGGGAGGCAGCAGUGGGGAAUAUUGGACAAUGGGGGCAACCCUGAUCCAGCCAUGCCGCGUGUGUGAAGAAGGCCCUCGGGUUGUAAAGCACUUUCAGUGAGGAAGAACGCCUGGUGGUUAAUACCCAUCAGGAAAGACAUCACUCACAGAAGAAGCACCGGCUAACUCCGUGCCAGCAGCCGCGGUAAUACGGAGGGUGCGAGCGUUAAUCGGAAUUACUGGGCGUAAAGCGCGCGUAGGUGGCUUGAUAAGCCGGUUGUGAAAGCCCCGGGCUCAACCUGGGAACGGCAUCCGGAACUGUCAAGCUAGAGUGCAGGAGAGGAAGGUAGAAUUCCCGGUGUAGCGGUGAAAUGCGUAGAGAUCGGGAGGAAUACCAGUGGCGAAGGCGGCCUUCUGGACUGACACUGACACUGAGGUGCGAAAGCGUGGGUAGCAAACAGGAUUAGAUACCCCUGUAGUCC
rnacentral:rRNA from 1 species